AAAGCGAAGCCGCGCCUUCCAGGCCGGAUUCUCAUACCACUGUGUACCAAACUCUUCGUUGCUUCGGUGGGGGACGCAAGUCCCGGUGCCUACCCGGCACACCCACCGGGGUUUUUUUAAAACUUCUGUUGACGAACGUCUGAUUUUAUUUUCAAAUGAAAAUA
rnacentral:misc_RNA from 1 species